rnacentral:misc_RNA from 1 species
CGAUUUCAUUUUGUUAAAAAAAAAAUCGAUACAGUUUCUAUUCCAGGAAUCCAGAAAGUCAAGAUCCAACCUUUACACCACAAAUCACAAGAAAAAAACCAAAAUCCGACAACCCAACAUGUAGAUCGACAACACGAGAGACGAAAGAACAAAAAAGAAAAAGUCGAGUACCAGCAGGGACGUGAUUAAGUGCGAUGCCGGUACUGGACAGAGCCUGUUGGACAGCUGAGUGAAUCCGAUUGGUAUCCCCGUAAGCAGAGAUGGAGACUGGCCCACAAUAAUUCAUCUUGGCCAGGGCUGAGCUUAUGUUCUGGGCUAUAGCAUGUGGAUCGCAUUCUCUAGGUACCUGGCAGUUCUCUAUAUCCCACCACACCGAGGUCUUGGCCGUGACAUACUGCGACUCUGCUACUCCUUCGCCGCCCAUAGUUUCCCCGAUCAACCGGAUAAUUGAUAAUCAAUAAACCCAGGCAGCGGCUCCACCAGCAGCGAAGGUAUAGAGAGGAUCGCUCUGGCUUCUAAUGAAGUCAGAAAAAACCUAAAGGGUUAACCCCUUGGC